UUAAAAAGAAAAAUGCAAUAUCUGUGGCCAAAACGACAUUGCAUGUAAUUUUUGAUGAAAGUGGAUCACAGGUUAUUGUACCAGAGAGUCAAAUAUCACCUUUGAAAGAAAAUAUAGUUGGGAAAGGUGAUGGUUCCUUGCGUCAAUGUUCUAGGAUACAGACAGAUCUUAUUCAAAGAGCUAAUAAAGAAGAUUUCCAAACAGUUCAAUCCAAGAUUACUCCAGGUAAAAGGAAAAUGUCUGAGGCAUCAAUGAUUGUGCCAUCUACUUCAAGGUUGGGUGUGCAGAGUCCUUUACCAUUGGUUAAUACUUCAACCCCACGACGAUGCCGGAUUAAAAAACCUCUUCAGAUUAUGAGCUCAGCGGAAAGAAAUAAUAUUUUCUCGAUACCUGAGAGGAACAUAAUGAAUUUUAGUGCAGAGAAUAAUGUUUCUUUAUCUUCUACAAUAAAAUCUCAUAAAAAUGAUAGUUCUGUAGAAAAGCAUGUUCCAGUUGAAAAUGCAAUCAAUAUGUGCCAUAGUGACGAAGAUGCAGAUUUCAAGAAAAAACAACA